UAAUAUGUAGGAAUCUACCUUGAAGUGGGGGAUAACUUAGGGAAACUUAAGCUAAUACCGCAUAAUAACUAUGGUGGAAAGCAGGGGAUCGCAAGACCUUGCGCUUUAAGAUGAGCCUACAUCGGAUUAGCUAGUUGGUGGGGUAAAGGCCUACCAAGGCGAUGAUCCGUAGCAGGUCUGAGAGGAUGACCUGCCACACUGGGACUGAGACACGGCCCAGACUCC
rnacentral:rRNA from 1 species